rnacentral:rRNA from 1 species
UUCCCCUAGUUCGUGCGAGUGAAGCGGGAAAAGCUCAAAUUUAAAAUCUGGCGGUUUUGGCCGUCCGAGUUGUAGUCUGGAGAAGUGCUUUCCGCGCCGGACCGUGUACAAGUCUCCUGGAACGGAGCGUCAUAGAGGGUGAGAAUCCCGUCUUUGACACGGACUACCGGUGCUUUGUGAUGCGCUCUCAAAGAGUCGAGUUGUUUGGGAAUGCAGCUCAAAAUGGGUGGUGAAUUCCAUCUAAAGCUAAAUAUUGGCGAGAGACCGAUAGCGAACAAGUACCGUGAGGGAAAGAUGAAAAGCACUUUGGAAAGAGAGUUAAACAGUACGUGAAAUUGCUGAAAGGGAAACGAUUGAAGUCAGUCGCGUCGUCCGGAACUCAGCCUUGCCUCGGCUUGGUGCACUUUCCGGUUGACGGGCCAGCAUCGAUUUUGACCGGCGGAUAAAGGUUCGAGGAAUGUGGCACCCUCGGGUGUGUUAUAGCCUCGGAUUGUAUACGUCGGUUGGGAUCGAGGAACUCAGCUUCGGCUUAGGAUGCUGGCGUAAUGGCUUUAAACGACCCGUCUUGAAACACGGACCAAGGAGUCUAACAUGCCCGCGAGUGUUUGGGUGGUAAACCCAGGCGCGUAAUGAAAGUGAAAGUCGAGACCUCUGUCGUGGAGGGCAUCGACGCCCGGACCUGACCUUCUGUGACGGCUCCGCGGUAGAGCGUGUAUGUUGGGACCCGAAAGAUGGUGAACUAUGCCUGAAUAGGGUGAAGCCAGAGGAAACUCUGGYGGAGGCUCGUAGCGAAUCUGACGU